rnacentral:lncRNA from 1 species
AGUGAUGCUAAAUCUACAGUCCAGACUCUUCAUGUACAACCUCAGUAUAAGCUGCCACCCAAAUCGUUCUCUGCUUCCCACAAGUUCGAGGGUUCAUCGGACCUCGUUAAUCUACGAUACCACAUGGGUCCGGUGUUGUCAUCUCCGAUCAAUGAAUGGAUCCAUCAUGUACACGGCAGGCAGCUAUGACCAGCUCAUUUCCUUCAGUCACAUCAUCUUUAGGAUUAAAAGUUUGUUUGGCUGGGAUUAAUAUCUUAUUUUCAUCUCAAACAAUUAAUGUUAAGUAUUAACAACAUUUUUCAUGGAUGUUACAAUUUUUGAAUUACACAUUUUAAAAAUUUCGAUUAUAAUGUACUAAAAAAAAUCUAAUUUUGAUCCUUACCAAACACUUUCUAAGCCACUUUUAACAGAAAAUUUUGUCUACCUAGUUGACAAAUGCAAUGACUACAACAAGUGAUUUGGAUGUAAAAAUUGACUAUUUUCUAAGCAGUUUGAUAUGUCAAGAAAGUGGGCAAAAUUUUCUUGCAACUUACCAUGAUUCCGUCCUUUAUAACUCCCAAUCCAUUCCACAGAUUCACAUUUCGCUCCACCAUUUUCUCGUUAUUAUGUUGAUUCGUCUUUUAUUCUUUUCCUCGUUAUUUCUUGUCAAUGAUGCUAAAUCUACAGUCCAGACUCUUCAUGUACAACCUCAGUAUAAGCUGCCACCCAAAUCAUUCUCUGCUUCCCACAAGUUCGAGGGUUCAUCGGACCUCGUUAAUCUACGAUACCACAUGGGUCCGGUGUUGUCAUCUCCGAUCAACAUAUACCUUAUAUGGUAUGGGAAGUGGGCCGCAUCUCAGAAGACGUUAAUCAAGGACUUUUUAUUCUCUAUCUCCGCCACCAACCAAUCUUCGCCUUCGGUGGCGGAGUGGUGGCAGACUGUAUCCCUCUAUACAGAUCAGACGGGAGCCAACAUCUCACGCUCUGUCCUCCUUGCUGGUGAGUACA